rnacentral:tRNA from 1 species
GCCGGCGUAGCUCAGUGGCAGAGCGGCUGUUUUGUAAACAGCGGGCCGUGGGUUCGAAUCCCUCCGCCGGCU